CCUCUGAACCUCCUGCGCCACUUUAGAUUUCGCCUGCUGUUUUCCUGGUGGCUUCCCCAAACCAAACCUGUGUGGCUGAGUACGGCAGCGCUUUGGGGACAAAAAUCUUUCUCUUCCCUGGGCUCGGCCUUGUACUUAAUCGUUCCGUGGUUGAAUCGGGCGGCAAGUAUUUGUGUCUCCAUUGCGCUGCUAUCCAGGAGGUAGGGGGAGGCUGAGCCCGGCGUUGAGUUCGGGCUGACUGGGGCUUGGGCCCAGCGAGUCGGUGCUGCUGCGCGGAUGUUGCGAUGGCUGAUCGGGGGAGGCCGAGAACCUCAGGGACUGGCGGAGAAAUCUCCUUUACAGACAAUAGGUGAAGAACAAACCCAGAAUCCCUACACUGAACUGCUUGUACUGAAAGCUCAUCAUGAUAUUGUACGAUUUCUGGUGCAGUUAGAUGAAUACAGAUUUGCGUCUGCUGGUGAUGACGGAAUUGUAGUUGUGUGGAAUGCCCAGACAGGAGAAAAACUUCUGGAACUUAAUGGACACUCUCAAAAGAUAACAGCUCUUAUUACAUUUCCUUCCUUGGAAGCUUGUGAAGAAAAAAACCAACUGAUCUUGACAACCUCUGCUGAUAGAACAGUUAUUUUAUGGGAUUGUGAUACUGGCAGACAAGUUCGGAAAGUAUCCUGCUUCCAGUCUACUGUGAAGUGUUUAAUUGUUCUUCAGAGACUAAAUGUUUGGCUCUCUGGUGGGAAUGACCUAUGUGUGUGGAACCAAAAAUUAGAUCUCCUGUGUAAGACCAGUCACCUUUCUGAUACAGGGAUCAGUGCUUUGAUUGAAAUACCUAAGAACUGUGUUGUGGCAGCAGUUGGCAAAGAACUGAUAAUUUUCCGGCUGGUAGCACCCACAGAAGAAUCACUGGAAUGGAAUAUUCUUGAAAUUAAGCGCCUCCUUGAUCACCAGGAUAAUAUUCUCUCAUUGGUUAAUGUCAAUGAUGUGAGUUUUGUAACUGGCUCCCAUGUUGGAGAAAUGAUCAUCUGGGAUAUUCUGGACUGGACCGUGCAAGCCUGUGAAUGCAACUUCUGGGACCCAUCCCCACAGCUGGACACCCAGCAAGAAAUAAAACUCUGCCAAAAACCAAACGACAUUUCUAUUCAUCAUUUCACAUGGGAUGAAGAGAAUGUAUUUGCUGCAGUUGGAAGGGGUUUAUACGUGUAUAACCUUCACAUGAAGCGUGUGAUUGCUUGCCAGAAAUGUGCCCAUGACUCUAAUGUCCUGCACAUUGCCAAACUUCCGAACAGGCAGUUAAUCUCAUGCUCGGAAGACGGCAGUGUACGCAUUUGGGAGUUAAGAGAAAAACAGCAGCUUGCAGCUGAACCUGUACCAACAGGUUUUUUUAACAUGUGGGGAUUUGGAAGAGUGAACAAGCAAGCCAGCCAACCUGUUAAAAAGCAACAAGAAAAUGCUCCUCCAUGUUCAUUGGAGCUUAUUGGAGAUUUGAUUGGACACUCCUCAUCUGUGGAGAUGUUUCUGUACUUUGAAGAUCAUGGACUAGUGACAUGCUCUGCUGACCAUCUCAUUAUUUUGUGGAAAAACGGAGAAAGAGAAUCUGGAUUGCGCAGUUUAAAAUUAUUUCAAAAGUUAGAGGAGAAUGGUGACUUAUAUCUUGCGGUCUAGUUGAAGGAAUUUGGAGCACAUGUGCAUGAACCUUGAACAUCAAAUACAGGGAUGUGGUAUUUGGCGCUUUUGGAGCUGAACGCACUGCACCCCCUCCAAAACCACAGCCCCUGAAACAUCUCAUCUACCUCUGAUGGAUUCUCUCCUCUGGACAGGAACAGAGCCUGGAAGUAAUGCCUUGAUGUCAGUUGCUUUACAAGCAGAGGUUUCGCAGGGCCAUGUCAGCACCUGCCACCCAGGACCCUGUUUCCUGACUCACUUCCUGAUCCCCUGCGGCAGGAGCAGCGCCUGAGGCCCUCUGCUGGUCACACCCCAGCUGUACUAGGUUUUCUCAGAGCUUCCGGGCUCAGGUUCUCUCCACUCCUCUUCGGAAGACCACCUCCUCCCCUGCCCCCUUUAGAACUGAGGAUUCACUUGGAUGAAAACAGUCUUUAACAAUUCCAACUUUUUUCUUGGAGGUCUAAACCCACCAGUCAUUUAUAACUGGCCAUGAACGAUUCCAUUAGAAUUAUUUUCUCACAUUUCUCAUCUGUGCUCUCUGAGGAAGUCAACAGGGAAGGCAGCUGCUCUGUAGUUGGCUGUUCUCUGGUAGGCAGCCAGGGGGGUUAACUGUGGGGCGGGGAGAGAGACGGAGGGGCUGUCCGUGACAACAGCACUGUCUCCUGCCAUGUGCCAGCACCUUCACAUGUGCCAUCAGGCUAGUCAGGACAGUACCCCUGCAAAGGAGGAAGGACAGUCAUUCCUCUGACAGAUGGGGAAGCUGAGGUUUCACUGGCCUGAGCCUCCCAGCUAGUACUUGACAGUGCCCAAUUUCCAACCCUGAUCAGCUGGCUCUAAAGCCACUUCCUCUUUGUCACACUGCUCUUUACAGGGAGGACCUAGAAGGGAAGCUCUGGACCCAGGCCUGUUAAACUGGGGUCUGAGGACAACAUCCUCUGUGUGAGAGCAAGGCAGCCAUUUGGAAUAUAAUUUCUUUUGAAAUUUGGGGGAAGGCUUGAAUCUCUGCUAUCGAGAGGUUUUGUCACAUGAAUGCUAAAGCAAAGCAAAGCAAUCAUAUUUCAACGUCCCCAUGUCAACCACUGUCUGCGGAGUGUUUCUGUUUGUUUUUCCUUUUGUGAAAGAAAGCUUAAAGUGCAAAAUGUGUCCACAUGAAGUCAUGACUGGGAAUUUGGAUCCGUGUGUCCCUGGGGAACCCAAUGCUUCUGCGCUAGUUCCUACAAUGUGAAUACCUUGGCCUGCACUGCUCCUGCCAGAGUUCAAAGCUGGGAUUUCUUAGCAAGUCCUUAGAAGCUUACAACUUGUUGUGGGGGGGGGGGGGGGAGUAAUUCAUCAUUUCAAACCUUUAAGUAUUGAAAAUGUUAUAGGUUCCCACAGAUGUUGCUAUCCUUGUGCUAAAUGCUUUGUUUACAAAAACUUGAUUAUGCUUGGCUCUAAAAGGCCCUACAAAUUCUGGGUUUCUGUGUAUGUGUGUGGGAGAGAGAGAUUUCAGGAUCAUCUCUUUUCCUCUUCAGGAAUAACCAUUUCAAAAUUUUAUUUUCUUUACACACCCACCACUGUCUUAAACUAAAAAAUUCUGUCAAGGUUGUGGAAAAGCUGGAACUCUCACACACCCUGCUGCAGAGAACAGAAAAUUGUACCAUCACUCUGAAAACAGGUGUGGCGGUUGCUUAUAAAAUCCAACAUACACCUACCCUAUGACCCAACUCCUCAGUAUUCAGUUCAACUCCUAAGUAUUUACCCAAGAUAAACAAAAGCAUAUGAUGUUCCCCAAAAGACUUCUCUAAGACUGUUCAAAGGAGCCCCAAACUGGAAAUACCCCAGAAGUUCAUUAACGAGGAAAAUAAACUGUGGUCAAUUGAUACAAUGGAAUACUAUUCUAUUCAGCAAUAAAAAGAAAAAGGGAAAAAUUACUGAUAUAUGCAACAUAGAUGCAUCUCACAACAUGGUAAUGAGUCACAGAAGCCAAAUGUAAAAGCGUAGACACUCUAUGCAACUCUAGGACAGGCAAAACUCAUCUGUGGUUCAGUAUUCAGGACAGUGUUCCCUUUAGGGGUGGGAGGGGUAGGAGCAGAGUAGGGGUAACAGGCAAGGCCAGGAGAGAACUUCUGGGGUGGUAGAUUCAGGACCUUCAUGGGGCCUGGGUUACAGAAGUAUGUGCAUUUGUCAAAACUCAAGUAACGCUAUACCUAAGAUCUGUGCAUUUCACUAUAUAUAACUUUCACCUAAAAAAUGAAAAAAUCUGGAAACAAACAUUAAACUCUAGUUAAAGUGCCAAGGGGUGAAAUGUCCUGAUAUGUGUAACUUAGUUUAAAAUCUAUCAAAGAAUAAGAUCGGCUGAUGAAUAAAUCAAGGAUAGAUGGACAGAUAGAUGAUUGAGCAAAAUGGUCAUUACAGAACAUAGGUGGUGGCUACAUGUGUAUCUACUUACAAUGCUUCUGACUCUUCUAUAGGUUCGAAAAAUUUCAUUAAUGUGGGGAGAUUAUAUAUUUAACUGAGAAUCUGGAAGGAUGGCUAAAUAUUGCAAGCCUGAACUAUAAUUUAAAAAUCUGUAAAUAUAGGAUGAAGGACACCGAGAACAACUUGAAACUGAGCAAGGUGAAUUACAUGUCAUGGUCCCUGGGACUCCCAGCCUACCAUGAGCCUGGGCAUGAAAAUGAUGUUCCACUUCAAACCGUAACUAGUGAAUUAUUGAACAUACCUGAUCAACAACUUCAAGACAGAACUGAAGGCUUCUGUGUGUGUGACAAGACUUCGGAGAUACAGUGGAGCCCAAGUGCCGAUGAGACAUGUGAUCACAGGAACACAGUCGUUGGAGACCCUCCCUUCAUUUACAUGUAACAAGAAGGGCAGUGCGGCCGUAGAACACAGCAUUUCUUUGAUCAUCUUUCUUUACUGAAGAUGCUUUGAUGAGUAUUCCCUCGGAUGCUAAAAGUAUUUGAUGCAUAGAUCAAAGAUGUUUUCUGUCUACUCUAUUUUCAAAAGCUAUUUGAUAAUACACUUCUCAAAAUUCCCACCCAAACAGCAAACCAACACCAAACAGUGUUCCCCAAACACGGCAACAAAACACCCAAUACAACAUUUUGGAUCCCCGUGCCCAGCAAUCAACUUUACACAGCUCCUAAACCAUGGGCCGGCCAGCCGCUGCCACUGUUUACACGUAUUCUGAGUCUGGGUUCUCAAAAUAUCGGCGCACCAAGACAGAGGAGAAACUGCAUACACGCCAAUCCUGACGCUGGUGUCACAUCUCUCCACUUCAGUUAAUUAUAUGAGCCUAACAUACUCGAUACAACAUCAUCUCUCUCCUUUUAUCUUAAACUUAAAAUAUUACUUUGUCGAAGCAACAUGCAUUGAUCUGAUAUAAAUGCUAAUGCAUUUGAACUUUUCAGAUUACAUUAGGUUAAAAAGAAAAAUCCCAAGUUGUUUUUAGAAAAUUUGCCAUAUGCCAAAGAGGAACAGAUUUUAUCUCCUCUCUGCUGUUUGGGAUUUUCUGGGAAAAAUUUAAGUGUCCCUCUUCUGUGCAAUCCUAGAUCUAGUAUGUUUGGGUAUCACCAGUAUCCCCCAGUCAACAUUUUCUUCGCUCAGGGCUAGUGCCCACUGGCCCCACGGCCAACGUGCACUGGCAAGAGCCGUUACAAAGCAGCACUCAUCAGAUAGCCAGUGAUAAUUCCCUUUUUUAUCUUUAUCUUGUGGAAACACACUUAAUCCAAGGUGCCUUUCGGGUUUACAUGUUUUAUCUUUUUUUCCCUUGUCCAGUUUCUCUUUUAAUGGCUUUCAAAUACCUACAAUGUAAGCACCACUUUACUUCAUACCUGGUAAACAGUGAGUUUUCUAAUAUGGAAAUAUGAUCAUGGUUUUUAAACUUCAGCAUGAAUCAAAAUUGCCUUAAGGGCUUAUUAAAAUAGUUUGGGGGGCACCCCUCAAGUUUCUGAUUCACUAGGUCUGGGUGGAGCCUAGAAUUUGGAUCUCUAACAAGUUCCUAGAGGAGGCCAAGGCUGUGGAUGUGGGGGCCAUGCUGUAAUACCUGGGGACCCCUGUACUCAGAGUGCACUGGGCACCAGCAACUUUGCUGACACCUGGGAGCCUAUCAAAACUACCUACUCUCAGACCCACUGAAUCGGAAUCUGUAUUUUAACAGUUAUCUCCAGGUGAUUUUAACAUCACAGUUUGCGGAGCACUGGUUUAAGUGGAAAAAUCUCAGGCUUGCCAACAGAUGUUUUAAUAGCUCCAUUUCCAGUUGUAUAAACCUGGGGAAUGUAUGAGCUUCACUGAGUCUCAGUUUUCUCAUGGGUAAAUGGGGACCAAUGCCUACUAUUCAGGAUCUACAAAGAUCAAAUGAAAUCACGUGUGCAAAAUGCCAAGCCCAGGCUUGUUUUUUUUUUU